UGAAUUUGGACCCAAUAAUUUUGGCCCUAGCAGUCCUUCAUUGUUGGCUUUAUUAUUCUCCUCGGCCAACGCGUCACAGAAAGCUCUAUGGGUGAUAAAGCUAUCUCUUCUGCACCGAUAAAUGAGUACACACAACGAACCAGGCCCAUCUAAGAGAUUAUAUUAGACAACGACUCUGACUAAAAAGUACGUGACGCACAUAUGGUGCCGCGGAUAUAGUUAGAAUCAGAAAGCUUCAUCGAGGACCUAACUGCACAUGCAUAUUAGAAGUUGGAAUUCAUUGAUGAUUUUGUGAUGAACCUGGAGAAGAUGGUGCCACAGUCACAUUUGUAUUCCCUAGUGCCACAGAUCUUAGAAUGGGCUUUCCAGUCGGAUUGGACUGCGUAUCUCUUAGAGCACUUUUCGCACUUCCAUUUCUUCUCGCCAUGUUUUCUUGAGAAAUGUUUCUUAAUGCCAGUAAGGUCACCCAGUGCUCGUGCUGGGUUAUGGUGGACGCACGAAGGCUCUGGACAAACAUAAACACGCUUUCGAACCUCUGUGGUCGGCCUCUGUUUAAGCUUCCAUGGCAGGUUAUGGCCUCUCCGGUGCAAUUGCAGGUUCUGAUCCCUUUGGAAUCCUUUGUUGCAGAUUUCACACACGAAUCGGUUUCUCGCCAUCAGGGUGUUCGGUGAUAGAGCAAUCACUUCAGCACUUGGAUCUGCACGCCACAGCGCACACACAAACCCACAAUUUAAAAAAAGUAGUGAUUUUUAUGUUUGGUACUGUCCAAUUUAUGAAUAAAGUGACAAAUGAAAAAGCUGAUCA